rnacentral:misc_RNA from 1 species
GUAGGUGAACCUGCGGAAGGAUCAUUACCGUGGGGCUUCAGCCCCAUUGGGAUAGCACCCUUUGUUUAUGAGUACCCUUGUUUCCUCGGCGGGCUUGCCCGCCAUGAGGACCAAAAAAACCCUUUGUAGUAGUAGUAACUUCAGUUAAUAAUAAAUAUUAAAACUUUCAACAACGGAUCUCUUGGUUCUG